ensembl:misc_RNA Metazoa_SRP Metazoan signal recognition particle RNA
GCUGGGCGCCAUGGCAGGCGCCUGUAAUCCCAGCUACUCAGGAGGCUGAAGCAGGAGAAUUGCUUGAACCCAGGAGGCGGAGGUUGCAGUGAGCUGAGAUCCCGCCACUGCACUCCAGCCUGGGUGACAGAGUAAGACUCUGUCUCCA